rnacentral:SRP_RNA from 14 species
CGUGUCCUGGCUCAAGUCCGCCGGCGACAAGGUCUCCAAGGGCGAGCCCCUGGUGGUGGUUGAGUCUGACAAGGCCGACAUGGACGUGGAGUCAUUCAGCGAGGGAACGCUGGCCGUGGUGGUGGUCGACGAGGGAGAGCGCGC